GAUGAACGCUAGCUACAGGCUUAACACAUGCAAGUCGUGGGGCAUCAUGAUGUAGUAAUACAUUGAUGGCGACCGGCGCACGGGUGAGUAACGCGUAUCCAACCUACCCUCCACUCAAGUAUAGGCUUCCGAAAGGGAGAUUAAUCCUUGAUAUCGUCAUUCUCUCUCCUGUUAGAAUGAUAAAAGGACAUCGUUUCGGUAGAGGAUGGGGAUGCGUUCCAUUAGGUAGUAGGUGGUUUAACAGGCCACCUAGCCGAUGAUGGAUAGGGGUUCUGAGAGGAAUGUCCCCCACACUGGUACUGAGAUACGGACCAGACUCCUACGGGAGGCAGCAGUGAGGAAUAUUGGUCAAUGGGCGCAAGCCUGAACCAGCCAUGUAGCGUGAAGGAUGACGGUUUUUUUGAUUGUAAACUUCUUUUCUGUGCGAUUAAAGUGUGGCAUUUAUGCCAUAUUGCAGUAUCUCAGGAAU
rnacentral:rRNA from 1 species